GAUGAACGCUAGCGGGAGGCCUAACACAUGCCAGCCGAGCGGUAUUUGUUCUUCGGAACAGAGAGAGCGGCGCACGGGUGCGGAACACGUGUGCAACCUGCCUUUAUCUGGGGGAUAGCCUUUCGAAAGGAAGAUUAAUACCCCAUAAUAUAUUGAGUGGCAUCAUUUGAUAUUGAAAACUCCGGUGGAUAGAGAUGGGCACGCGCAAGAUUAGAUAGUUGGUGAGGUAACGGCUCACCAAGUCAAUGAUCUUUAGGGGGCCUGAGAGGGUGAUCCCCCACACUGGUACUGAGACACGGACCAGACUCCUACGGGAGGCAGCAGUGAGGAAGAUUGGACAAUGGGUUAGCGCCUGAUCCAGCCAUCCCGCGUGAAGGACGACGGCCCUAUGGGUUGUAAACUUCUUUUGUAUAGGGAUAAACCUACUCUCGUGAGAGUAGCUGAAGGUACUAUACGAAUAAGCACCGGCUAACUCCGUG
rnacentral:rRNA from 1 species